UUAUUCAGAGACCAGGAAAACAGUAAGAAAUACAGAACUUUUCUUCAUAUAUGUGUGAGAUGUUGUGUGUGUGAAAUCUUGACAUGGUCCAAAUUAUUAAGAAAAAAAGGGAAAAAAAGAACUUAUAAUAGCCUCGCCCAGAUCUUCCAGCUGAUGCAUCAGCAGUACUCACCACCACUUGUGUAUCAGUAAGCCAGUUACUGAUGUAACUACAAUUGUUUUUGAAGGGGUCAUAUCUGUGACUGUACAUGUACUAAUGCAGGUAAAGAAGUCUGGAAAUCACAUUAUGCUUCUACUUUCAAAUGAAGAAACGGACCGCCAUUAUACAAGCCAGAAGAUGGUGCUGAGCAAAGAGAACGCCAACCUAAAACUCCUUCCUCUUAAACCAAAACUUAUUGAGCUUCAGAAAGGAAAAAAUGGUUAUGGCUUUUAUCUACGGAUGGAACAAAACACUGGUGAUCAUGUAAUCAAAGAUGUUGAUUCCAAGAGCCCAGCAGCCAAGGCAGGUCU